rnacentral:rRNA from 1 species
GAAUAUGGGGGGACCAUCCUCCAAGGCUAAAUACUCCUGACUGACCGAUAGUGAACCAGUACCGUGAGGGAAAGGCGAAAAGAACCCCGGCGAGGGGAGUGAAAAAGAACCUGAAACCGUGUACGUACAAGCAGUGGGAGCCUCUUUUAUGGGGUGACUGCGUACCUUUUGUAUAAUGGGUCAGCGACUUAUAUUCUGUAGCAAGGUUAACCGAAUAGGGGAGCCGAAGGGAAACCGAGUCUUAACUGGGCGUUAAGUUGCAGGGUAUAGACCCGAAACCCGGUGAUCUAGCCAUGGGCAGGUUGAAGGUUGGGUAACACUAACUGGAGGACCGAACCGACUAAUGUUGAAAAAUUAGCGGAUGACUUGUGGCUGGGGGUGAAAGGCCAAUCAAACCGGGAGAUAGCUGGUUCUCCCCGAAAGCUAUUUAGGUAGCGCCUCGUGAACUCAUCUCCGGGGGUAGAGCACUGUUUCGGCAAGGGGGUCAUCCCGACUUACCAACCCGAUGCAAACUGCGAAUACCGGAGAAUGUUAUCACGGGAGACACACGGCGGGUGCUAACGUCCGUCGUGAAGAGGGAAACAACCCAGACCGCCAGCUAAGGUCCCAAAGUCAUGGUUAAGUGGGAAACGAUGUGGGAAGGCCCAGACAGCCAGGAUGUUGGCUUAGAAGCAGCCAUCAUUUAAAGAAAGCGUAAUAGCUCACUGGUCGAGUCGGCCUGCGCGGAAGAUGUAACGGGGCUAAACCAUGCACCGAAGCUGCGGCAGCGACACUAUGUGUUGUUGGGUAGGGGAGCGUUCUGUAAGCCUGUGAAGGUGUGCUGUGAGG